UUUUAAUACACCACUGCAAUAAAAGGUUGAGUAAUUUCAACAUAAAGUAAUAACAAAUAAAGGGUGUAGCCUAUGAUCAUCACAAAUACGAAAUACUGGUCCUGGAUGGGCGCAUUUUCUCUGUCGAUACUCUUCUGGUCCGAACUCAUCUGGAUAGUUGCUCACUAAUCUCUGACCUCGCUGCGGCGAGGUUUUUCUUU
rnacentral:sRNA from 1 species